AUGGCAUCGUCUAAUAACGAUGGUCCCAUUGAGCCUGAGGCUGAACCGUGGCGAAUAACACAAAACGAUCAUCUCGAGCAAGAUCUUUUGGAAGAAGAUGCAGAGAGUCAGGAGAGAGUUGAUAUUCCAGUUGAUGAUGUGGAAAAAGCGUUCUCCUUCAAAAAAUUAUGGGCGUUCACAGGGCCCGGAUUUCUCAUGAGUAUUGCCUAUUUGGACCCAGGAAACAUUGAAAGCGACCUUCAGUCUGGCGCACAAGCGGCUUACAAACUUUUGUGGGUUUUGCUCUCAGCUCAUAUUAUCGGAAUGUUGCUCCAACGAAUGUCUGCAAGACUUGGAGUUGUCAGUGGAAAACAUAUGGCAGAGGUUGCCUACCAAUUUUACCCAAGACUUCCUCGCAUCAUUCUCUGGCUUAUGAUCGAGAUUGCAAUUGUGUGUAGUGAUAUGCAAGAAGUUAUUGGAACAGCAAUUGCCAUUUUCUUGCUCUCUAAAGGAUUCGUUCCACUCUACGUUGGAGUUUUCAUCACAAUUCUUGACACCUUCACAUUUUUGCUGAUCGACCGGUACGGAAUCCGAAAACUGGAAUUAAUCUUUGGAUUUCUUAUUUUAACAAUGACAGUGUCAUUUGGCUAUGAGUUUGUCGUUGUGAAACCUCCAAUUGGUGAAGUUAUAUCUGGAAUGGUGGUACCUUGGUGCGCUGGAUGUGGAAAAGGAGAGUUUAUGCAAGCGAUAUCAGUUGUCGGAGCUGUCAUCAUGCCGCACAAUUUGUACCUUCAUUCGGCUCUAGUGAAGUCUCGCCGUGUAGAUCGUAAAGACCGUCGUCGUGUGGCUGAGGCCAACAAAUAUUUCACACUUGAGUCGGCAAUUGCUCUUUUCCUCAGCUUCUUCAUCAACAAUGACAGGAACAUAUACAGGACAGUUUGUGAUGGAAGGAUUUGUGAAAAUUGAGUGGCCCAAAUGGAAGAGAGUUCUAAUUACAAGAGCGAUUGCAAUCACUCCAACCCUCGUGCUCACGUUUUAUUCGCAAGGAGUUCAAAACUUAACAGGAAUGAAUGAUUUCUUAAAUUGUGUUCAAAUGAUUCAACUUCCGUUUGCACUAAUUCCAAUCAUCACAUUUACCUCGAGCCGAAAAAUAAUGCACGACUUCAGAAGCUCUAAAGUUUUUCAAAUUUUUGCUCUGAUCACUUCUGCGUUAAUUUUAUCGAUUAACGUUUAUUUUAUUUCUGACUACGUGUUUUCUCGACUUGGUAGUGAGUGGUAUAUCAUAAUGGUUCUUGCUCCGAUCACCUUUGCAUACGUGCUCUUUGUGUUAUAUCUAGCACUAUACUGUUUGGUCUCUUGUGAAAUUAUCCCAGACACCGUUUCCAUCCGAGGAUUCAGCUUUAACAAGUCAUACGAAAACGAUGCUCCGUGGUUGGCGGUUGAUUCAUCAGCAGUCCAUGACAAUGCAGGAUAUCAAUAA
rnacentral:misc_RNA from 1 species